GAUGAACGCUGGCGGCGUGCCUAAUACAUGCGAGUCGAGCGAACAGACGAGGAGCUUGCUCCUCUGACGUUAGCGGCGGACGGGUGAGUAACACGUGGAUAACCUACCUAUAAGACUGGGAUAACUUCGGGAAACCGGAGCUAAUACCGGAUAAUAUAUUGAACCGCAUGGUUCAAUAGUGAAAGACGGUUUUGCUGUCACUUAUAGAUGGAUCCGCGCCGCAUUAGCUAGUUGGUAAGGUAACGGCUUACCAAGGCAACGAUGCGUAGCCGACCUGAGAGGGUGAUCGGCCACACUGGAACUGAGACACGGUCCAGACUCCUACGGGAGGCAGCAGUAGGGAAUCUUCCGCAAUGGGCGGAAGCUUGACGGAGCAACGCCGCGUGAGUGAUGAAGGUCUUCGGAUCGUAAAACUCUGUUAUUAGGGAAGAACAAAUGUGUAAGUAACUAUGCACGUCUUGACGGUACCUAAUCAGAAAGCCACGGCUAACUACGUG
rnacentral:rRNA from 1 species